CACCGUGAUGAAAAAGAGGGAUGAGAUUAUAAGAAUCUAAAUGAUAGCCAAAUAACGCAACCCGAUUUCCUCGUUAAAAUCCCGAUGUUAAAUAUUGGUAACCGAUCGUUCCAACAAUCUAAAAACCAUUUCAUUUGUCAGUUUGUGUAUUGAAGAACAGCGAAGAGAAAAUAGAAGGGAAAGAGUAAAAACUCAAUGUGCUUGUGAAAUGAAAAGCCGGUGAAUAAAAAGCCAAAGAUUCGAAUCGGUGAGGCAUGCGCGAUAAUGAUAAACAUUCAGUUUGCCGAGCGUAAACCUGUUGAAGAAGAAGAAGAAGAAGAAGAAGAAGAAGUGAGCACGUCGAUGCGCUUCGAGAAGACAAGGGGUCGAGGCGGUUGACGAGGGUAGGCGGAACGAGAAGGCUUCGAUAAGAAGAGGGAAGAAACGAUCGGAGAUAAAGAAAUAACAACGAUGUCGUGCGAGAAGGCGUCGCGACGCCUCAGAUCCUUAAUAGUUAAGGCGAGGAGACUCGGGGUGACGGCUGAGGAAGUCGCCGCUUUACCUACGGUCAGGAAACUCGCUGCGUCAAAGACGGCGAACUUCUGGUCCGUCGGCUUCGCUCUGAUCACGCUACUCGGUGCUGGCAUCAUCCUUAUCCUUAUCUGCGCCCCUUGCCUCGCGAAGAGGGCGGCGCGCGACGUUCGAGUGUUUCCUUAAUAAACGCCACCCUCGAAACUCGCGCCCUAAACCAGAAGGAGAACUUUGACAAGGUUAGACCGCGCAUAUUUGCCGCAGCUUGAAUUUACGAGGGAAGGUUUCGGCAGCCUGUUGGCGUACAACUCCAAAUCCGAGGAUUAUAAUGGAUUGGAAAUUAAUUAAGUGGACCCGUGACAUUUGAUUUAAAGCGAUAUUUACCCUGGCAUUUUACUGACUAAGAAAAUUGUAAUGAGAUUAUAAAUUUAUGGGCUGUGCAAGCCGGUAUGCGAAUUUAUAAUUUAGUUAAAAAAUGAUUGGUACUUUUGGCUUCUCUUCUGCAAUUCUUAUUAUUAUUAGUAUUAUCAACAGUAUAAUUACGAUGUAAAAAAAGGAACUGUAAUAAAGACUGUAUGAAUGUACGUACGUUAUAUGUAUAGAAAACGUAAAAU